rnacentral:rRNA from 1 species
AACGAACGCUGGCGGCAUGCCUAACACAUGCAAGUCGAACGAGACCUUCGGGCCUAGUGGCGCAGGGGUGCGUAACGCGUGGGAACCUGCCCGUAGGUUCGGAAUAACUCCCCGAAAGGGGUGCUAAUACCGGAUAAUGUCUUCCGACCAAAGAUUUAUCGCCUUUGGAUGGGCCCGCGUUAGAUUAGCUAGUUGGUAGGGUAAAAGCCUACCAAGGGGACGAUCCAUAGCUGGUCUGAGAGGAUGAUAAGCCACACUGGGACUGAGACACGGCCCAGACUCCUACGGGAGGCAGCAGUGGGGAAUAUUGGGCGAUGGGCGAAAGCCUGAUCCAGCCAUGCGGCGUGAGUGAUGAAGGCCUUAGGAUUGUACAGCUCUUUUUCCCGGGAUGAUAAUGACAGUAACGGGAGAAUAAGCACCGGCUAACUACGUG